rnacentral:tRNA from 1 species
GGGUAGGUGGCCGAGUGGUUAAUGGCAACGGUCUGUAAAACCGUCGAGCGGAAGCUCUACACAAGUUCGAAUCUUGUCCUGCCCA